GACGAACGCUGGCGGCGCGCCUAACACAUGCAAGUCGAACGAGAGAUGAGGAGCUUGCUCUUCAAAUCGAGUGGCGAACGGGUGAGUAACGCGUGAGGAACCUGCCUCAAAGAGGGGGACAACAGUUGGAAACGACUGCUAAUACCGCAUAAGCCCACAGCUCGGCAUCGAGCAGAGGGAAAAGGAGCAAUCCGCUUUGAGAUGGCCUCGCGUCCGAUUAGCUAGUUGGUGAGGUAACGGCCCACCAAGGCGACGAUCGGUAGCCGGACUGAGAGGUUGAACGGCCACAUUGGGACUGAGACACGGCCCAGACUCCUACGGGAGGCAGCAGUGGGGAAUAUUGCACAAUGGGGGAAACCCUGAUGCAGCGACGCCGCGUGGAGGAAGAAGGUCUUCGGAUUGUAAACUCCUGU
rnacentral:rRNA from 1 species